AGCCUAGGUGCAAGCUGUCCUUAUUAAAGAUCCACGUUGAUGGAUGUUUUGUCUAACUAUUCUGAGGCCAGAAUGUGUCCAAAGCUUUGUUAACCCCUUGUCUUCUGCUUGGUAGGGACAGCGUCUUAGCCCAGGUCUCGGGGGCUGUGUGCACAUUCCUCCCUGGAGCACGAGGCAGAGAUGGGGACAUCGAACCAGCCAGGCCUACCCUGCUAGGACAGAGUGCAGCUGAUGUGCCCUGAGGCUCCGGGCAUUCUUGGGAGAUGCUGACUGAGACAACAGCCCAGUGAUGGCAGGAGUUUCCCAGACAGUGGAACAGCUCUUCACACCUGAUUCUAAUACACCUGGUUCUUCACACACCUGAUUCUUCUCACCUGGAUUCUAAUCCCUUGAUCUCUGACAGAUAAGUGCAGGGGUUCAACCCACAGUGGGGAUGGGAAUGAGUCUCUGGGUCUGGAAUUGUUGGGGGGGAUUUUGGGAUUGGUCGGGAUCUCUGUGCAGUGAUUGCUGGGCAGGCGGGGUCUCUGUGAGGGCCCCUCUGAGACCCCUCCUCAAAUUCCCCAUUGUCUCUCCCCAGAACCUGUGGGAUGCUGCACUCGGUGGAUCAGGUGAGUGGGGGGUCCCAGGGGGGGUCAAUGGGGGUUUUCAGACCCCUCUGACCCCCCCUUGCUCUCUCCUCAGUACCUGAACAUCAAAUUGAUGGACACCAGCGUCAUGGAC